rnacentral:rRNA from 1 species
AGUUUGAUCCUGGCUCAGAACGAACGCUGGCGGUGCGUUUUAAGCAUGCAAGUCGAACGGCACGAGGCGCAAGCCUCAGAGAGUGGCGGACGGGUGAGUAACACGUGGAUAAUCUGCCCCUAGGUUUGGGAUAGCCUGUGGAAACACGGGGUAAUACCGGAUGUGGUUAUCUACACACAAGUGUAAGUAAAGAAAGGCGCUUUUUGUGUCGCCUAGGGAUGAGUCCGCGGUCCAUUAGCUAGUUGGUGGGGUAAUAGCCUACCAAGGCGACGAUGGAUAGCCGGCCUGAGAGGGUGGACGGCCACAUUGGGACUGAGACACGGCCCAGACUCCUACGGGAGGCAGCAGCUAAGAAUCUUCCGCAAUGGACGAAAGUCUGACGGAGCGACGCCGCGUGAACGAAGAAGGCCGUGAGGUUGUAAAGUUCUUUUCCGGGGGAGGAAUGAUCGUGGAAUUAACUAUCCGCGAGAUGACGUGAACCUGGGAAUAAGCCCCGGCUAACUACGUGCCAGCAGCCGCGGUAACACGUAGGGGGCGAGCGUUGUUCGGAAUUAUUGGGCGUAAAGGGUGCGUAGGCUGUGCAUCAAGUCUGGUGUGAAAUACCCCGGCUCAACUGGGGGGGCGCGCUGGAAACUGUUGUACUUGAGUACAGGAGGGGAAGUUGGAAUUCCAGGUGUAGGGGUGAAAUCUGUAGAGAUCUGGAAGAACACCGGUGGCGAAGGCGGCUUUCUGGCUGACAACUGACGCUGAGGCGCGAAAGCGUGGGGAGCAAACAGGAUUAGAUACCCUGGUAGUCCACGCCGUAAACGAUGAUUACUGGGUGUAGGGGGUAUCGACUCCCUCUGUGCCGAAGCUAACGCGAUAAGUAAUCCACCUGGGGAGUACGGCCGCAAGGCUAAAACUCAAAGGAAUUGACGGGGGCCCGCACAAGCAGUGGAGUAUGCGGUUUAAUUCGAGGCAACGCGAAGAACCUUACCAGGGUUUGACAUCCCGCGCUCGGGGUAGAGAUACCUUUUUCCCUUCGGGGACGCGGAGACAGGUGGUGCAUGGUUGUCGUCAGCUCGUGUCGUGAGAUGUUCGGUUAAGUCCGGCAACGAGCGCAACCCUCGUUGUCAGUUGCCAUCAUUUGGUUGGGCACUCUGGCGAGACUGCCGUUGACAAAACGGAGGAAGGUGGGGAUGACGUCAAAUCAUCAUGCCCCUUAUGUCCUGGGCUACACACGUACUACAAUGGGCGUUACAACGGGCAGCGAAACCGCGAGGUGGAGCGAAUCCCCAAAGGCGCCCUCAGUUCGGAUUGCAGGCUGAAACUCGCCUGCAUGAAGCCGGAAUUGCUAGUAAUGGCAGGUCAGCAUACUGCCGUGAAUACGUUCCCGGGCCUUGUACACACCGCCCGUCA